UUCUGUUCUGAUUAAACUCUCCUUAAUCCUGGAGACUAUCUGUGAAAUGCAGUUCCUGUUUUUUCACAGGUUGUUAUUUAGUUUUUUUCUCCACCAUUGCAGGAAGUCUGACUUAAAAUAGGGCUGCAGACAUUAAGGCUGUAAUUGCCAUGUGGAAACCCUGCAUUCCUGCUGUUUUUCUAGGGUGAGGGUAGAUUUGUGCCUCUCCUUCCACAGCCCUUCAUGUGUGUCUGGACAAGUGGCGGAGAGUGACGUGACUCACACACACAGGGCCAGCACUGAUUCAUGCCGGGAGGCUUUCUCCAGCCAUGCUGAAGCAGAUCCUGUCCGACAUGUAUGUGGACCCAGAGCUCCUGGCUGAGCUCAGCGAAGAGCAAAAGCAGAUAUUGUUCUUCAAGAUGAGGCAGGAGCAGGUCAGAAGGUGGAAAGAAAGAGAAGCAGUAGCUACCAUCCCAAAGCCAGCACUGAACAAAGACCAUAGAAAAUCUGUGCAGUGGAAGCUUGGUGCAGAUGGUGAUAUCUGGGUAUGGAUAAUGGGAGAACACAUACUGGAUAAACCAUAUGACCUUCUGUGUAGUGAGAUUCUUGCUGAAAGAGUGAAACAACAGUCACUUCAUCAAGUAGAGGCAAUAAGAACACCAAUGGAAAAAGCUACAGAGAGUUCAGUAUCAUCUCCUCCACGGUUUCUAUCAGAGCUCCAACCUGGAUUUGAAAUACUGCAAGACAAUAAAGAAUUUGUCCAAAGAGCUGUACCAAAAAGAGUGGAAAACACACCAGCUGUUGGAAAUCGCAGAAAUCUAGAAUGUAGCCAGGCUCCUGUGACUAAACUAAAAGAUGUGGAGCAGAUAUUGGUAGACUAUUGCUCUAAUUCAAGCAAAUCUAAUUUUCAGCAGACUAGAGAAAUGCCAAUGAAGUCGACCAUCACCGAGACCAGAAUGAAAGAAGAAAUAACUUUACACUAUCCUUCUGAAUCAAUUCAAAAACUGGACAAAGAAGAUCGUAACUGGCUAGAAUCUUUACGGAGGUCCAAAGUAGCAGAUGAAAGACGACGCUCCCUUGCCAAAAAUGCACGAGACGACUACAAGAGACUCUCAUUACAGGGCAUCCGCAACGACAAAGCAGCUAAUGUUUCUCAAACCUUAAAGAAAGAGGUGCAAAGAAAGCCACUCCCUCCACCUCUUCCACCAAAGCCUAAAAACCUUAUAGCUAAAAUAGCUGAUGGGAAACCAGAGAGAAAACAGGGCUUACAAAGAUCUAUCUCCAGUUCUACUCAGGAGAGUAUUGUUCGAUGGUUUAGAGAAGAGCAGAUCAAUCUCCAAGCUGGGUUUGAGAAAUCUAUGGAUCAGAUAGCACCUUGGUUUCACGGUAUUUUAACCACCAAAAAAGCAGAAGAACAUUUGGAGGGUUUGGCACCUGGAAGCUUUCUCAUCCGAGUCAGUGAAAAAGUCAAAGGCUAUGUUCUCUCCUAUUUGUCAACUGAGGGCUGCAAACAUUUUCUGAUAGAUGCUUCUGGAGAUUCAUAUAGUUUCCUUGGUGUUGACCAACUCCAGCAUUCAACAUUAGCUGACCUAGUUGAAUUUCACAAGGAUGAGCCCAUUACAUCAUUGGGGAAGGAACGUCUUCAUUACCCCUGUGGACAACAAGGACAGUUACCAGAUUAUCUUGAUCUUUUUGAGUGAUAUUAUCAAGUGCAGGAAAAUCAGGAAGUACAGGCAGUUCACAUGAAUAUAAAGGUUUAUUGCAAGCUAAUGCUCUCUACAAGAAUCUGAACUAUUAACAGACAAAGCAAAUAGGUGGUAGAUAAGAAUGAAAUUCAAAGUGAGUUGGACUUAGAUCUCUUGCGGACAUAAAGGGAUUUGAGAUUGAUGAUACAACAAUCUCCCUCAGGCUUAUCCUGGUUAUCUCCUACAGAUAUUCAGAAAAUCAUUUACCAUAUGGAGGACGUUUAUGGAAUGGGCAGCUGCUGACAUGGAGACAAAACCCUUCAAUUAGUAUAAUAGUUCCUUAUCCAUAAAAUUAUUAUUCAAACAUGUUUGAUAAACAAAAACUAAAUUCAAUUAAAAAUUGGGAUUAAAAUCCUAAAGAAAGCAGCAAAAAAAUAAAGCUAUCAUUACAGGCAAUUGUGCUAAUGAACUUUCUUUGUUCAAACUGAAACCUGACUGCAUGAAUUGCUGUUAAAUGAAGUUAUAAGGAACUAUUCCUAAGCAUUGACAUUUGACAUCUCUCAAUAAAUUCUUGAAAGGUUUCCAGGACAAAGUCUCCUUGUUUGAAGAAGCUGGUGUAUGACAGGCAUAGUAAAUAGUCAGCAGAAAUAAGUCAACAAAUGCUCAAGUAAGGCAGAUGGAUAUUGAAAGAGCGACUGCAUAAAAUAAUAAACAUUACAAAUGCCUUAGCGUUUUAUCCUUUUCUCUGAAAAUGUUACAAAUAAAUGUUUUUGCAACAGAACAAGCACAGUCCUUGUCUAUUCUAAUUGUGCUUCACUUCACUUGAAAAUAAUCUCAGCUAGACCAAGAAGAAAGCAGUUUUAAUAGAUGCAGAGGAAUUAAUAUAUUGUCAAAGGCUGUUUGCAUUUAUAAACAGAAUUUGGACAUCUCAAGAUUCCUUAUUUUCCUAGCUAUCAAUAUUAGCAGAUUGUAAUAUUUAAAUACAUCUGGAAAAUAUACUUAUAUUUUCAUCUGUGUGUCUAUUUCAUUGAAGUUCCAUUUUGAGGCAUAUUUUCCAAAAUUCAAAUAUGUAAAAAAUGCAAGCUGAAUUAGCAAGUAUAUUAAAAUCAGAUAUUAUAUUGGAAUAUCAUCCCCGCAGAAAUUAUAUUGGCUCCCAUGCUGACACUCUUUUUUAAGGUCCAGAAAAAUCAAUGGGUCUGAGGAACACAGAGUGGGAUGGAACCCAUUAAGUAGUUCAUCUGACUGUAUGUUGUUGCUGGGAUGGGUGGAUGGGUUAUUGUUUUUAUACUGGGUUUUUACUGUUUGUAAAGAAAUAUGUUGCUGGCUAGCACUUGAUAAAAUAAUCAUGGCUUGGAAAAGUUAUUCAAAUUACUGAUGUGAUGUGUUUCUACCUACAAUAAACAGAAAUUGAGCAAUAUGUCA